rnacentral:rRNA from 1 species
GAUGAACGCUGGCGGCGCGCCUAACACAUGCAAGUCGAACGGAGUUAUUUGAAAGCUUGCUUUUGGAUAACUGAGUGGCGGACGGGUGAGUAACGCGUGAGUAACCUGCCUUAAAGAGGGGGAUAGCGUCUGGAAACGGACGCUAAUACCGCAUAACAUAUUGUUUUCGCAUGGAGAUGAUAUCAAAGGAGCAAUCCGCUUUAAGAUGGACUCGCGUCCAAUUAGCUAGUUGGUGAGGUAACGGCCCACCAAGGCAAUGAUGGGUAGCCGGCCUGAGAGGGUGAACGGCCACAAGGGGACUGAGACACGGCCCUU